UCCUACGGGAGGCAGCAGUAAGGAAUAUUGGUCAAUGGACGCAAGUCUGAACCAGCCAUGCCGCGUGAAGGAUUAAGGUCCUCUGGAUUGUAAACUUCUUUUAUCUGGGACGAAAAAAGGCGAUUCUUCGUCACUUGACGGUACCAGAUGAAUAAGCACCGGCUAACUCCGUGCCAGCAGCCGCGGUAAUACGUAGGGGGCAAGCGUUGUCCGGAUUUACCGGGUGUAAAGGGCGCGUAGGCGGGCAGGUAAGUCAGUGGUGAAAUCCUGGAGCUUAACUCCAGAACUGCCAUUGAUACUAUCUGUCUUGAAUAUUGUGGAGGUAAGCGGAAUUCCAGGUGUAGUAGUGAAAUACGUAGAUAUCUGGAAGAACACCAGUGGCGAAGGCGGCUUCUUGGUCCGUAACUGACGC
rnacentral:rRNA from 1 species